GUCCAGACUCCUACGGGAGGCAGCAGUGGGGAAUAUUGGGCAAUGGGCGCAAGCCUGACCCAGCAACGCCGCGUGAAGGAAGAAGGCUUUCGGGUUGUAAACUUCUUUUAAGAGGGACGAAGGAAGUGACGGUACCUCUUGAAUAAGCCACGGCUAACUACGUGCCAGCAGCCGCGGUAAUACGUAGGUGGCAAGCGUUAUCCGGAUUUAUUGGGUGUAAAGGGCGUGUAGCCGGGCCGGCAAGUCAGAUGUGAAAUCCCAAGGCUCAACCUUGGAACUGCAUUUGAAACUGUUGGUCUUGAGUAUCGGAGAGGCAGGCGGAAUUCCUAGUGUAGCGGUGAAAUGCGUAGAUAUUAGGAGGAACACCAGUGGCGAAGGCGGCCUGCUGGACGACAACUGACGGUGAGGCGCGAAAGCGUGGGGAGCAAACAGGAUUAGAUACCCCGGUAGUC
rnacentral:rRNA from 1 species